GAGGGUAUAGCUCAGUGGUACAGCAUAUGCUUAGCAUGUACAAGGUCCUGGGUUCAAUCACUAGUACCUCCA
rnacentral:tRNA from 1 species